rnacentral:lncRNA from 1 species
GCGCCCCGCGCCCCGCGCCCCGCCCGCAGCCGGAAGGAGCGCGCCCCCCCCCCCGCCGGCGCCCCGCACCCCGCGGCCCCCGAGGGAGCGCGCCCGGCCGCGGGAGGCCUUCCCCUCACCUGGCCGGCCGCCGCUCCCUUCCGCCUCGCUCCCCCUGCCGGCCGCGCCGCCAGCACCGCGAGGUAGGAGGCCCGGCGGGGCGCCGGCCUGGGCGGCCGGGAGGGCCCAGCGGCGCGGAGCGGGAGCCGCCCGGGGUCCACCUCCCCCGCCCCGCCGCCCCCCUGCCUGGGGCGCGCAGGGGACGUGGGAGCCGCGUCCUGCAGCGCGGCUGACCGCGAGGUCAGGGCGGCCGUGAGACCAUUCUACAGGCCCUAAGACCGAGGCUGGCCGUCGCGGGGCCCCGGCAGGACCCCACUGCUCAUCUUCCGUCCCUUGUAAAGGCACAUCCCUGGCGCUGCCGGCGCGGCUGCUAAAUCACUCCGACCCUCUCCAUCCCCAGCCCCCGAGGGACCCGUGCACCCUCGUGUAACUCUGGCCCGCGCGAAGCCCUGGGUCCUCGCGCCCGAGUGCUCCUGAAGACUAGGGCACGCCACCCGCACCCCAGGUGGAUCCGUGCUGGUGCCUCCAGGAGGAUGUGGGCCGGGAACCAGGAGGCCGAGAAGGGAAUCGGGGCCAGUCUGGCCCACACGUGGACAGCAGCGGUGAGCAGCAAGGCCGGUCCAAGCUGUUUCGGUAGGUGGCCUCAAAUGCUUCCACAAGAAGGUGGCACAUGGAUGGGGCUCAGCUCGCUCUGGUCAGCUGGAUCAGGGCUGAGAGCUGGGGAGUCAGCCUGCACUGGUGGGGGAAGGUGGAACUGGCCCCUUCAGCAGAGUGCCCAGAAGGUCCCCGAGGCCUCAGGUGUCGCUGCUCCCCUAAGCACCUCCGACAAGACCAAGACGAC